rnacentral:lncRNA from 1 species
AACGGAAGCUCCAGGAGCGCGGUGGAGCCUGGAGUGGAGGGCGAGGGUCCCACCGUGACCCGCCUGGAGGGCAGCCCAGCUCUGGGACGCGAAACCGCCUACGACGGUGCCGCAGCAGUUCCAAGAGCCUCUGAGUUCCUGCCUUUUUUCAUCUCUGAAUCCCCACCAUUGGCCUACAUUGGGAGUGGGGCGACCUAUGGGGAAAGCAAGGUCCUGAGACUCUGAGCAACUUCCCCAAGAUCACACAGCUAGGAAGUGAUGAAGCUGAGACAAGACCAGCCAGCACUUACCCACCACGGUGUGAUGCUGACGUUAGAGGACAAGGACAUGAAGGGAUUCUCCUGGGCCAUAGUCCCAGCCUUAACCUCCCUAGGCUACCUGAUUAUACUGGUGGUCUCCAUCUUUCCCUUCUGGGUGCGACUGACAAACGAGGAGUCCCACGAAGUCUUUUUCAGUGGCCUAUUUGAGAACUGCUUCAAUGCCAAAUGCUGGAAGCCUCGACCCUUAUCCAGAUCUCGCUUUGUCACCCAGGCUGGUGUGAUCACAGCUCACUGCAGCCUCCAACUCUUGAGUUCAAGCGAUCCUCCCACCUUAGCCU